GGAAGUUAAGAAACUGUUUCUUAACUUUUAGCUAAAAAAACUAAGAAUCGGUUCUUAAAUAAGGACUUUAAAAAUCGGUAUUUAAGAACCGGUUCUUAGUUUUUUUAGUUAAAAGUUAAUAAACAGUUUCUUAACUUCG
rfam:Brassica oleracea var. oleracea cultivar TO1000 chromosome C6, whole genome shotgun sequence